rnacentral:lncRNA from 1 species
AUGGAACAUGGGACUGAGGCAGAGAAUGGAAUAAACUUGAAAAAUGAGGAGGGGUGAAUCCAGUUGACUGCAGGGCUUCUGGCUUCCCGGCAGGGACAUUCAAGUUUGGAGCCAGAGCUGACUUGGGAUGACAGAACAGGCCUUCUCAGCUCUGCAGCAGGGAUGUCCGAUAGAGACCAGACAGCUCCUACAAGUUUGCUGAAAAGAUAACUGAAGGAAGAUGAGGUAUAUGAACUCAUGCAACUUGGACCAUGUACUCCCAGCAGGGGC